rnacentral:rRNA from 1 species
GGGGAGCAGCAGUGGGGAAUUUUGGACAAUGGGCGCAAGCCUGAUCCAGCCAUGCCGCGUGCAGGANGAAGGCCUUCGGGUUGUAAACUGCUUUUGUCNGGAAAGAAANGNUUNUGGUUAAUACCUGGGGUCCAUGACGGUACCNUAAGAAUAAGCACCGGCUAACUACGUGCCAGCAGCCGCGGUAAUACGUAGGGUGCGAGCGUUAAUCGGAAUUACUGGGCGUAAAGCGUGCGCAGGCGGUUAUGUAAGACAGAUGUGAAAUCCCCGGGCUCAACCUGGGAACUGCAUUUGUGACUGCAUAGCUAGAGUACGGCAGAGGGGGAUGGAAUUCCGCGUGUAGCAGUGAAAUGCGUAGAUAUGCGGAGGAACACCGAUGGCGAAGGCAAUCCCCUGGGCCUGUACUGACGCUCAUGCACGAAAGCGUGGGGAGCAAACAGGAUUAGAUACCCUGGUAGUCCACGCCCUAAACGAUGUCAACUGGUUGUUGGGUCUUCACUUCCUCAGUAACGAAGCUAACGCGUGAAGUUGACCGCCUGGGGAGUACGGCCGCAAGGUUGAAACUCAAAG